CUCCGAUAGUGUAGUGGUUAUCACUUAAGCUUUACGCGUUUAAUGUCCUUUGUUCGAACUCAAAACUAAGCA